GAAACGAGAGGGGUAGCCAAUGGCCUGAAGAGUGGCCUGAGCGAGUGCAGACACCUCCUUAUUGGCUCAACAGAUCACAGAUGGGUAUUUACGGGAAACCAGCUCCAGAGGACUUUGCAGCAGACACUGAGCACUGGAAGAAGGUGGUGAGCAAGACAUAUAUGAGCGGAUUGGGAAUUAGCUGGUCCAACGUGAGAAAUAUUAUGGACAUGAGAGCAGUUUAUGGAGGGUAAACAAUGAUCUCAUUGCUUAUUACAGAUUUAUGAGCAAAACCUGAUAUCAAAAUAAUGCUUACAGAUUUGCUGCUGCACUCAAGGACCUGAAAGUAUGGGUGAUGAAUGUGGUGAACUUAGAUUCUCCAGAUACACUUCCCAUAAUCUAUGAACGCGGUCUUUUUGGGAUAUAUCAUGACUGGUGUGAAGCAUUCAGCACCUACCCCAGGACAUAUGACCUCCUGCAUGCGGAUCAUCUUUUCUCCAGA
rnacentral:lncRNA from 1 species